rnacentral:lncRNA from 1 species
UCGGAUGAACCAUCAAACAGGCAAAAUGUCAAUACAGGACUAAGAUCGAAUUCUACUACACCGGCUCUGACGCUCGUCGGAUGUGGCAGGGCUUGCAAACUAUCACGGAUUACAAAGGGAAACUCAGCCAUGAGCUGCCUAGUGACGCGAGCCUACCAGACGAGAAAAUUUGCCUUCUAUAGUCGCUUCGAAGCUAGAAACACUGAACCCUCCAUGAGAGUACCAGCUGUUCUGUACGACUGUGUGAGGGUGCUCUCCGUACCCGAUGUGAGUAAGACCUUUAAACAAGUUAACAUUCACAAGGCCGCAGGGCCAGAUGGAUUACAAGGACGCAUACUCAAGAGCAUGCACUGAACAACUGGCAAGUGUCUUCACUGACAUUUUCAACCUAUCCAUGAUCCAGUCUGUAAUAUCUACAUGUUUCAAGCAUGUUCCUGUGCCCAAGAAUGCCAAGAAGCUGUUUUUCAGUCUCUCGGUCCCAGCUUUGAUGCACCUGUACUGACCUUGCCUUCUGGAUGAUAGCGGGGUGAACAGACAGUGGCUCGGGUGAUUGUUGUCCUUGAUGAUCUUUUCGGCCUUCCCGUGACAUCGGGUGAGGUACAGUAUCUGUAUGACGGUCCAGUGACUUUGUGAAAUGUGACUUAGCCUAGUUAAUCAAUUAGACUGUGUUACAAAUGCUGUUAUUAUUUCUAAGCCUAAAGUAUCCAAACUAUUAAAAAAUACAAAAGUGAUUGUUCACUUUAAACACAAAGGCCUGUGACAAAUUCCAGGUUUGUGAGAACUAUUCAUAUAACUGAAUAUGAGGCAGAUUGCAGUGUAUUCGUAUGACAUCUUGACACCCUUAGGGGAAAUAAACAACACCUCAGGCAAUUAAGACCCUCGUAGUCCCAGGGCUUAGAGAACAGUGUAUAGUCACAGAGUUUACAGAUCAGUGUAUCUAUUUAGUGCAGGAGAACAAGACAGCAACACAGACCAAGCACUGAGUUGAGGUAUAACAAUUAGUGAGUUAUCUUCAGAUAAACCACAACAGCAACUGGAUGCGGGGACACCAGGAGAACAGGAUGGAGAGGAGUUUCUUAACAAAGCAGUGGACGUUUCUCAACCCAUCUCUCUCCUAAUUAAUUCUGUCAAACUCAGUGACGAAGGCUUGGAGGACUGCAUCCCUGCAGAGAGGACUACUCAAGCAAAGACGAGGUCUGUUAUCCAGCAGGUGCGCAAGCAGGUCAAAUCCCAGCUGAGCAUGAACGUCCCAAGGAAUGUCAUUCGGGAACUAGUUCAGAAGGUCUAAAGCAGAGAGCUGGAGAUGGCAUUGGUGAACGGCCCCAAUGACACUGAGAAGGCAGGUGCAGAGAUUUUGGAAGACGAGUGUACAGGUGAGAUGGAUGUCAAAAGGGAGGAGCUUAUAGCGUUUUUUCAACAGGAGCUGAAGGCCAGUAAAGAGGUACUGAGGUGUGAGUUUAAAGAGCAAAUAACCCAACUGAGGAUAGAAAUGCAAGUCUACACAGGCCAGACUCUGAAGGGCCUGGAGUCCAAGGUGCAGAACAGGCAAACAUACUCCCAUAGUGUACUCCAGCGGCUGUAUCAAGCAGUACAGUCAGAGACCAGAAGUCUUGAGAAGAAGAAGUUUCCAGCAGCACCCUUACUGGGCCCUGGUAAGACCAGAGUUCUGAGCAGAACCACGACAAAUCUCACCCCCAAGACAUGUCCUCCGAUUGUCCUCUUGCCUUGCUCUAAAUCAGAGACCUUGAUCUCCUCCAUGGAUAACAGUACCCUGCUUCUCCUCAAGGAUCCAGACUUCUUUGUUCUCCUAUCUCUGAACACCAAGUACCAUCAGUCCUGUGGACCUCUGCCCCUACCUGCCCCCCACGUCACAAUCGCAAAAAAGCCUCGCCGCACCAAUGUAACCUUCUCAUAAGCUGCCUUAUCUGAUGUUAGUGCAGCCAGCCACACAGACCUGUUGAGUUGGUGGGCUCAACAUCAGGUGGGAUGCAGUUGUUUACAUUAUAUUUUCACUAUAAGUGAAAUAGUACUUUCACUUAUGUUGCAUAUAAAUGUUGCAUAUUAUGUUGCAUAUAAACGUCUACAGAAAAUACAGUAAUGCCAAUGGUGGAGGUGUUGCUGUUUAUAUUCAGAACCACAGUCCUGUGAAGCUUAUAG